UCGAGAAUCUUCGGCAAUGGGCGAAAGCCUGACCGAGCGACGCCGCGUGUGGGAUGAAGGCCCUUGGGUUGUAAACCACUGUCGGAGGGGAUGAAGUGUAUGGGAGCAAACUCCUGUACUUGACAUAGCCUCGGAGGAAGCACGGGCUAAGUUCGUGCCAGCAGCCGCGGUAAGACGAACUGUGCAAACGUUAUUCGGAAUCACUGGGCUUAAAGGGUGCGUAGGCGGUCUUGUAAGUAGGGUGUGAAAGCCCCCGGCUCAACCGGGGAACUGCGUCCUAAACUGCGAGGCUUGAGUGAGGUAGGGGUGUGUGGAACUUCCAGUGGAGCGGUGAAAUGUGUUGAUAUUGGAAGGAACGCCGGUGGCGAAAGCGACACACUGGACCUUGUCUGACGCUGAGGCACGAAAGCCAGGGGAGCAAACG
rnacentral:rRNA from 1 species